UACGAAGGGGGCUAGCGUUGUUCGGAAUUACUGGGCGUAAAGCGCACGUAGGCGGAUCGAUCAGUCAGGGGUGAAAUCCCAGAGCUCAACUCUGGAACUGCCUUUGAUACUGUCGAUCUAGAGUAUGGAAGAGGUGAGUGGAAUUCCGAGUGUAGAGGUGAAAUUCGUAGAUAUUCGGAGGAACACCAGUGGCGAAGGCGGCUCACUGGUCCAUUACUGACACUGAGGCACGAAAGCGUGGGGAGCAAAACGG
rnacentral:rRNA from 1 species